UACGAAGGGGGCUAGCGUUGUUCGGAUUUACUGGGCGUAAAGGGCGCGUAGGCGGCCACCGCAAGUCGACUGUGAAAUCUCCGGGCUUAACUCGGAAAGGUCAGCCGAUACUGCGGGGCUAGAGUGCAGAAGGGGCAACUGGAAUUCUCGGUGUAGCGGUGAAAUGCGUAGAUAUCGAGAGGAACACCUGCGGCGAAGGCGGGUUGCUGGGCUGACACUGACGCUGGAGGCGCGAAAGCUAGGGGAGCGAACAGG
rnacentral:rRNA from 1 species